GGGGAUGCAGCUCAGUGGCAGAGAGCUUGCCUAGCAUGCACGAGGCCCUGGGUUCCAUUCCCAGCAUCACAG
rnacentral:tRNA from 1 species